GCGCCCGUAGCUCAACUGGAGAGAGCGUCUGGCUACGGACCAGAAGGGUAGGGGUUCGAAUCCUCUCGGGCGUACCA
rnacentral:tRNA from 1 species